AAUAUUGUACAAUGGGGGCAACCCUGAUCCAGCCAUGCCGCGUGUGUGAAGAAGGUCNNNGGAUUNUCAUGCACUUUAAGUUGNGAGNAAGGGCUUUAGGUUAAUACCCUGAAGUUUUGACGUUACCAACAGAAUAAGCACCGGCUAAUUUUGUGCCAGCAGCCGCGGUAAUACAGAGGGUGCAAGCGUUAGUCGGAAUUACUGGGCGUAAAGCGAGCGUAGGUGGUUCAGUAAGAUGGGUAUGAAAUACCCGGGCUUAACCUGGGAACUGCUUUCAUAACUGCUGGGCAAGAGUACGGUAGAGGGUAGUGGAAUUUCCUGUGUAGCGGUGAAAUGCGUAGAUAUAGGAAGGAACACCAGUGGCGAAGGCGACUACCUGGACUGAUACUGACACUGAGGUGCGAAAGCGUGGGGAGCAAAC
rnacentral:rRNA from 1 species